rnacentral:lncRNA from 1 species
UCAUCACUAUCAAUAUGACAGAUUGACGUUCAGCUAUUGUCAUUUUAAACCGUAAUUUUAUGAUUUCUCAGAUGCAGUCUAUAUCCAGUCUAUGAUUGGCAGGCAUUGUUGCAUAUAUAAGUUUGCCCUCUUCAGUUGUUAUAGUUCCCAUGCUAUUGUACAUAGGAGCAGGGAUGACCAAGUAGCCCAAGCCGAUGUGACCUGGAACCCCAGUUGUUCAGAGUUCUAGGUUAUGUGGAAGUCUUUGUAUAUGUAAACUGUAUUUACGAAUUCUCUGUCUCUGCAGGCAUUUGGACUGUGCCCAUGGAUGCCAGUGGUCAGCGCUAGCUGGCACAACCCCACUCCUAUACAGAGCAACAUGGGAGUUGUAACAACUGAAGACGACUGUAACUGUUUAGUGGAAAGGCAGUAUUCUUAGUCUAUGAGAAAUCCAUGGCAGUUUUCCUUUAUCAUGACUGCUUUCAGUUGUUUGCAGCAACUGCUUUCUCACUGUUUUCUCCGUGGCUUCACUGGCCAUUUUUAUUUAAUUAUUCAUUGAGUGUUUGCAGCCAAUCAGGAGUCAUAUACAUAGUAUGAUAACAUCACAAUGCAAUACAGUAAAGUGUCACAGCUUAUGUUGUUGAGGGUGUUUCCUCUUAUGGCUCAUGAUGGGCAAGACACCACUGAUUCCAACCUUUCCUCUGCCAUAAACUCACCUGGUGACCUUAGGCAGGCCAAUCACAUACUCUUUCAACCAUAGCCUCCUUUCCAAUAAUAGGAUGCUAUCUUACAGGACCAUUUCCCAGAUUACAUCAAAAUAAUGUGUAUGAACUGUUUUGAGCACUCUCUCAAGUUCUUUUAUAAAUAAGUGUUACUGUUAUAGUUUCAAGUCUGAGGAGGACUGCUUGUUGAAGAGGAGGAGAAUUUGGAAGGGAAUAUAAUGUUGAUCUGUGAGGUUAAAAUGUUAUGCGUUUUAAGAUUGUCAAAUUAGUAAUUGCUGCAAACAGUAGCAUAGUUUGUAUAAGAUAGGUCAGUGUUAUAAUUACAAUAGAUGCAUUGGUGUAAAAUUUAAACUUUUAAUGUGCUUUAGGCUGCUGAUGAAUAAUUUCAGGGCCUCAUGAGGUGAUGGCACUGCUGUCUCUCAGUUAAUUUAGAGCCUAGUGGUGUUUCAUUGGUACCUGGAAGUCAAUUCACAGAUAGCAAAACUUUAGAGCCAACUUCAGAGAAACUUACUUUGAGGAGAUAGUAAAAUUACAUUAGUUAAACUUCAGAGAGGAGAAGGGGUACAUAAUGUGGCAGGUUCCCAGAAUAAAUUAUUCAAUCAAGAGGAGAGCUUAUGUGGGAACCAGUGCAAUUUUUCUAUAAAAAAGAGGUGCCAGGAACACCUCCCUUGUUCUCUUAGAAUGGCAAUGGUGCCCACCUGAGAGGUGCUGAAACUGAGUUCCGGUGAGUUCCCGCUGAAAAAUGUACUGGUGGAAACACAUCAACAUAGAUACAUCUGACUACAUUUAAUCCCUCCACCCCACUCAGAAAAUCAAGGUGGAAAACAAUGGGUGUUUUCCUACCAGAUACCUUUGCUUAGAUGCCCUAGUAAACCAUUAAAAAGUGGAUGAGUAUCUUUUGUCUGACACUUAAUUCCCAUUGCUGCGCUAUCAGUGCAGAUUUAAGACUCUCUCAACUUGUUUUAAAAUGGCAAAGAUAAACACAAUAGAGAGAGGCUAAGAGGUUAAGCUACAAAUCAGGAAGUCUCUGGGUAAAAUUUUGCUUCUCCCAUGAACUCACCAGGUGACUUUAGUCUACUCACUCAUUCUGUUUGCUCCUCCAGUUGUGUAAAGCUGGUUGAUUAUGCCAGGAAGCCAGAUGAGCACUUGCAUGCCAAGGCCCUGUGACCUGCAGUUCCCUAGUGCAUAAUAAACACACGGACAUGAGUAUUUAGGUUUAUGGGUUCAAAUAGGCCACAACUUUAUUGGUUACAGAUGUGAGCAGUUUGGAUUAGUCAUUGGGUGAAGCCAGGCUAUAUUGUGACUCACGCCCAUCUGCAGGGAGUCCAUCUAAGUGUAAACCGCCAAUAGGGGGAGCCCUAUGACUUACAUCAAAUAGGGGCAUCCUAAGGGGUCCCCGAUGGGGUUGUGGCAUGGCCCUAGCUCACAUCUGGGCAUCAGACAGAAUCCACACCCCCGGAUCCCUUUAACAGGAUACCCUUAAUGAGGAGGGGCAUGCGGAGGCUACAAUCUCCCAUCGAUCCAAACAAAGCUUACCCAAUGUCUAACUUCACAAAGUUGUAAUGAUUGUUACAAGGUAGGUGAAAACCAAGUGGCUGGUGCCAAUUUGCCAAGUGGAAAAAAAUUCCUACCCAAUCCCAACAAUAUGGCGACCAAUGUUUGUCCAUAGCAAGUUCAUGUCAUCUGGUGAAGGGCGCAAGAGGAGGGCUCUCCAGCUGUGCCGCAGUUUAAGUUUCCUGCAGCCCAGACUCCUGCCAGCACUAAUUGGAUAGCGGGGCCACCCUUGGGCAGGCCCAGCACCGGCGACGUGGCCUGGAUGGCAACGAUGGAGGCAUUGAUCUCUGCCUCCUGCCAGAUCACUGUAGGAGCCCAAUGCCUGGCCGCAACAUUGCCCACCAGAAAAGGUGACCGGACCUUCCUAACACUUUCCUGUACCUUUCUAAAGGACCAUUUCCUGAUAUUCCUUCUCAGUGAAGCUACCUGGCUAUGCUCCUAGCCAGAGUGAGGAUCUUGGUCAGAGUUGUUUCUAUUUGGCUCAGUGACAUCCCUCUAGCUCUUUCACUAUGGAGAGAACUGCUGAUGAAUUUCAAGUAUAGGCAACAUCAAGGCUUGCAACUUUGCAAAGUUUUUUUGUUUUUGUUUUUUUAAGAGAAGCUUACAUAAUAGGGGCCAAAAGAUUGAAUCAGUGAGCUGUGGGAUCAUGUCACUUAUUUUAAUAGUUUUAUAUAAUUGUCAACUUUGAUAACUGAUCAGAAGCAAAACAGAAGAAACAGAUCCAUCUUUCUCCUUUGUGUGCUGUGAUAUGCUGAACGCACAGUGUUGCUGCUACCCAUAUAUGGGCAGAAAGCAUUUCUAUGCACUCACAGGGGGAUGUUGCGCCUGGCAUCUCUCCUCACCCCCAAUUGGAUGCAAUUCCAGAGGUUUCUUGAACCCUCAAUAGUAACUUAUAUGGGGAAUGCAAAAUGCCUUAACAAACACACAGAAUCUCAGUCUGUGGAGCUCUACAUAGCACAGUGGACAGCCAACUUUCUAUGUUCUUGAGACUGCUCUACUUUAAAAGCUGUGAUACAGAGUCACUAUCUAGCAGUAGGGCUUCAGAGUUGUGUUGUACAGGCAGAUGGGCUUUGCAGAAUCUUGCAAACAAAGCAAGUUCGUAUAUUACCGGUAGAUCUUUUGAAAAACCAUUUUAUUUCCCUUCUGAGUGAGAAUGUAGGCAGUUUCCUACCAUAAUCUUGAUUAAAAUUUCAUAGAACAACCAGAGGCUAGAUAGCAUUACUUUAGGCACCAAAUCUGGAAAUUUCUUAUGUAGCAGUUACAAACCUUUAUAUAUAUAUAUAUAAUAAUUUCCCCUCAAAAAUAAGUGCCAAAUCACAGAGGAUUUCGUUAGUGCUUUUCUGUGGCCCCCACUCAUUUGAGUUGAGCUUGUGUAGGAGAGCCUUUCUCCAUAUUGUGCUUCUAAGUGUUCAAAUGUCUGCAAGAAUCCAGGACAAACUUCUCUUGCACGAUAGCACUGAAUUGACCAAUGGCACAAACUUAUCUGUGCAUGUCUUUAAUAUUUCUCCAUAAAAACAGAUUACACCUGCAUUUGGGCUUCCAUCUUCUUGAAGGGAGGAGGUUGGAAGGAUAUGCACACACAUGUGAGAGUAUAAACACAUCAUUAUGCUUUCAUGACAGAUAAGCUUUCUCCAUUCAAGUGUAAACUCAUUUUUCUUUGGAUGACCUUUAAAUAGUAUUGUGCUAUUGUAUGGGAUUUAAAUCAAUAAUUGUGUCAAAGCAAAAUAUACUGCAGUUUUUUCCUUUAUCAUUUAAACUCUUCUGCAAACUAUCAAGGCGAUUUUAAUGUGCUGUCCUCAGAAGAGGAGAUGGGGAGGGAGGGAAAGUCCCUGAAAAUUUGCAUAAAUAUAACUAAAGAAAAUGCAAUUCUAUUCCUUAUUUCUGUUUUUUAUUUUCUUGCUUUAUCUUGCAGAAUGUUCAAGCAGCAGGCAAACAGCCCGUGCCACUAUAAUUAGUAGCUUAAUACCAUCUCUGCAUUCCCAUUGUAAAACACCAGUGUGUCCCAGGUGUGAGAAGGUUAAAAUGAGAAGUACCCAGUAGUUAUGAAGCUGCAAUAAUGAGUUUCCUUCUACUUACCAUGGAUUUGUGUGAUAUACAACUUGCAAUUAAGCAUGGCUUGGUGAUUCAGUGAUUAAUGUAUAUACGACUCCUAAAGGAGCAGCUCAGCCCUCCCGUCACAUCCUUCUUGAUGUUUACAGCUGGGUACCUAUUAACAGGAAGAUGGAAAGGGCCAUUUACAAUUCAGUAACCUUUAUGACAGUGAACUCUUUAAUCAGCAUUUUAUUUCCUUUGUAACACUUUAGUCAUCUACAAAUGUCAGAAUAAAAUAGGGCCAUGAAAUAUUUAGGAUCGGCAUGUGGAAAUUGACUUCCCUGAUUUAAGCUGCUGUGUCUUUUCAUUUUGUUGUUUUGGGAGCUCUUUACUUUUUAUUGAAAGACAAUUUAUAACUAAAUGCUCCCAAUAGUGACUUAGCAUUAGUGUAGGCGGAAUUACUGAAAUCCAAGUUCUCGUUCUAUAAUAUGUUGAUGCUUCCUGGAUUUGGUAAUAAGUUAUUCAAAUAAAAUCAUUAGCUGAGGGCUUCUGUUAAACUUGCAGUAGAAUAUAUAUCUUGUGCAUGUAGAACACACUUAUGGAGUGAGUAAAGAACCAAACAUACUUUACAAUGUAAAUUAAAUAAAAUGUGCACAUUGCUGGUAUGAGGUGUUCGAGAUGUGGUUUUUACACAUCAUUCUUGUCUGUCUGU